UACGUAGGGGGCUAGCGUUGUUCGGAAUUACUGGGCGUAAAGGGCUUGUAGGCGGCCAACUAAGUCCGACGUGAAAUCCCCAGGCUUAACCUGGGAACUGCGUCGGAUACUGGAUGGCUUGAAUUUGGGAGAGGGAUGCAGAAUUCCAGGUGUAGCGGUGAAAUGCGUAGAUAUCUGGAGGAAUACCGGUGGCGAAGGCGGCAUCCUGGACCGACAUUGACGCUGAGGAGCGAAAGCUAGGGGAGCAAACGGG
rnacentral:rRNA from 1 species